AUGGGAUUUUUGCUCCUUGUAAUUUUCGCUGUAGCCGCUUUGGAAGGUGUCCGGUCCCAGGUGCAGCUGGUGGAGUCCGGAGGGGAUGUGAAAAAGCCCGGAGACUCUCUCCGCCUCUCCUGCAAAGCCUCCGGGUUCGACUUCAGCAGCUAUUACAUGAGCUGGGUCCGACAGGCUCCUGGCAAAGGACUAGAAUGGGUCGCUUAUCUCAACAGCGCUGGGGGUGAUAUACAAUACCUUGAUUCAGUGAAAGGCCGAUUCACCAUCUCCCGGGAUAAUCCCAAGAGUGAGCUGUAUCUGCAAAUGACCGGCCUGAAGCCCGAGGACACCGCCCGCUAUUACUGUGGCAGCGUCUGUCAGUGUAAACGGGACAAGCGCAUUGGGGUUCGCAUCAGACCCAACGGAUGGAGCGAAUUGCCCCUGGGGCCAAAUCCUCCGCUGGUGUAA